UUACUCUGCGGUAUUUCCAGAGCUGGUUGCCCUUCAUGCUGUGGCAGUCGUAGAGCGUGACCGGGCUGGUGUGGGAGACGGCGUCAAAGCAGAACUUCUUGGUGUGCUGGGGGUCUCCAGGCCGGAUGUCCUCCCUCCAGGUGAAGCAGCUUUACUGAAGAAUAAUUGGUGGACAAUAAAUUGCACACAUUUAAAGUGUACAAUUUGAUACAUUUUAGCGCAUGUUUACUACACCUGUGAGACCAUUAUCAAUCAAGGUAAUGAACGUAUCCAUCACUCCCCCAAAGUAUCUCCAUGAUCCUUUGCAAUCUCUUCCUCCUCGUCCCCCUACCCCAAGGCAGCCACUGAUCUGCUUUCUGUUGCUAGAGAUUAG